rnacentral:rRNA from 1 species
UGGCGACCCCAGGUCAGGCGGGGG